AUUGAACGCUGGCGGCAGGCCUAACACAUGCAAGUCGAACGGUAACAGGAAGAAGCUUGCUUCUUUGCUGACGAGUGGCGGACGGGUGAGUAAUGUCUGGGAAACUGCCUGAUGGAGGGGGAUAACUACUGGAACCGGUAGCUAAUACCGCAUAACGUCGCAAGACCGAAGAGGGGGACCUUCGGGCCUCUUGCCAUCGGAUGUGCCCAGAUGGGAUUAGCUAGUAGGUGGGGUAACGGCUCACCUAGGCGACGAUCCCUAGCUGGUCUGAGAGGAUGACCAGCCACACUGGAACUGGGACACGGUCCAGACUCCUACGGGAGGCAGCAGUGGGGAAUAUUGCACAAUGGGCGCAAGCCUGAUGCAGCCAUGCCGCGUGUAUGAAGAAGGCCUUCGGGUUGUAAAGUACUUUCAGCGGGGAGGAAGGGAGUAAAGUUAAUACCUUUGCUCAUUGACGUUACCCGCAGAAGAAGCACCGGCUAACUCCGUG
rnacentral:rRNA from 1 species